CAACGUUUACAGUGUAUGUUUUAUGUUUUCUGAAGAAUGUUUAGGACAACUUCAUGUGUUGGUGUCCAUAAAAGAUAACCUAAACCUUUGCAAAAUGUAUAUCAUGGAAUAAUGGUUCUGGAAUAUUAAAAAUACAUUGUGUUACCUUACAUGCUGUACUCAAUAUAAUACACAACCAGCAACAACUAUUCUAUAGUAUAAAUGUUGAGUAUUAUUGAUAAGUGAUUCACAGACAUUGAGAACAUGUAUGGCCCGAGUAUCGAACUUACACAAGCUUACAUGCUACCCCUUCCAAGGCCACACCAGCACCGCCUCUAUUAGGACCUGUUCUCAUAGUUUAACCAAAAGUGAUUACCGGGUAUAUUUACUUCGAUGAUGACAGUGACGAUGAUGACAGUGACGGGAUGGUGAGCUGAUGAGAUACAGUGAUAUAGGUCCAGCCACAUUCGCAUGGGACACCUGACACCAUGGUAACUCAAUUUAGUUGUCUGGUACAGUGCUGGAAGGGAUCUCCAGAUUCUUGUGGUCACAGAUACACACCGACCACAUGUUUGACCCUUGGUGGUCAAUUUCUCCUAUCCACACAUUGUAGGUAUAUGAGACAGGUCUAGCUCCCACAGGGAUCAGUUGUAGGUAUAUGAGACAGGUCUAGCUCCCACAGGGAUCAGUUGUAGGUACAUGAGACAGGUCUAGCUCCCACAGGGAUCAGUUGUAGGUAUAUGAGACGGGUCUAGCUCCCACAGGGAUCAGUUGUAGGUAUAUGAGACAGGUCUAGCUACCACAGGGAUCAGCUGUAGUUAUAUGAGACAGGUCUAGCUCCCACAGGGAUCAGUUGUAGGUAUAUGAGACAGGUCUAGCUCCCACAGGGAUCAGUUGUAGGUAUAUGAGACAGGUCUAGCUCCCACAGGGAUCAGGUAUUUGUUACUGAUGAUUCUACAAAGCCAUAUUGGAAUAACCUGAUGUGUAAAAUACCAUCAUUAAAAUUUCUAUAUCUCCAUUUCAACCAACCAUAUGACAUCUCAACAGUAGCCUUUACACUUUGGGAUAUGUCCAAAUUCACGUAGACAGAAGCAACUUUUCUGAUCUAGGGUUUGGGUGCUUUUGCAAACACAGGGAGUGACGGUGCAGUCUGUCCAGCAAUACAUGAUAUUGUCGGUAGACACCUGUCGCUUAAUGCGAUUUCGUUUUCUUGUUCAGUGGUUUGGGUCACAUAUUAAAAUUAAUUUGUAUUAAUUUUUACUGUAGAUAUUGCGUUCUUGGGAACUUGCUUUCGGUACCACCGUUUAUAACCAUUUUGUCUUAUGUUGACAGGAUAUUGACAGGAAAUAGCAGGUUACCAGUUAAUGGCAAUAAAUCACAGUUCAUAGUAGAUUAAAGCAGAUAUACAGACAUCAUCACUUCAUCAUUGUGCUUAUCUAUUAAAAUUUGGUAAUGCAUUCAAAUUUGAGUGUGAAAAUAUAAGUACAUUUACUGUAGUGUUAUCAUGGGUUGUAUAAGGUACUGAGGAAAUUAAUAAGUUAAUUCACAUGUAUUACGUGAUUUUAUAAUGUUAUUUGAGAAUUUUAUACAUUGUACAUGUAUAUAUAUAUUCAUUGUUAUGCUGAUUAUACAUGUUAUUCUACUGUCUGAUGAAUUAUAGAAAUAAUUGUGGUAAUUUUUAUAGAGGAAAUCGUGAAAACAAGGUUGUUGAAAUAAAGUUAUUAUUAAUGUUCAAAA